UACACUUUUAUGGCUUAUUUAGGUUUCCAACUCGUCCAUCUACUCUCCUCUUCUUCUCUUCUCGUUCAUAGUUGUGUCAGGUGAACAUAAUUUUCACAUGAAUUGAUAUUAAUUCUACUAUAUUGCAUCAUGCCUCCUUUGAUGUGCAGCACCGCCACGCGUCAACAAACACCGUCAUCUUCGCACCUCGAUUCUCGGUUCUCCUCUUCGCCUGCUCUCAAUUUUGCACGUUGGUGGAGUCUGUCGCUGCUUCCUAGAUAUUUCAGUGAGUGCAACUACUACUCCCCACAGGGAAGAUGCAGGGUUACCAGUGUUGGAGUUCAUGCAAUGCAACAAAUGUUACACUUUGUACAUGCCUUAUGAAAAGUCGGCGUUUCAAACUAUGUCAAAUAGUUGAUUCAACUUGCCUAUGCCUACUGACGACAAAAAUAAGUUUAAGUUUUCAUUCUAAAACAAUACUACUACAAUCCUUUUUUGUCCCUCAUUUCCAAAAUGGUUGUUCCCAAACGAAUUACCUGCUGCAGACUGAUCAAGAUGCAUACUCAACUCAAUCACUAAACUACUUCCCUUUACUUAUGAGCAUAAUAUAUUGUACGGAAAAGGGCCUAAAAUAUCCUUGAACUAUUGAAAAUGGUAUAAAAUUACUCUUCAUCCA